UGGCCGGCCAUCCCGGCCGACCGGAGCAAUGACGUAGCACCAGCUGGUCAUGGAGCUCAUGAUCAGUAAUGCGUCUUCUUCCUCCUGAGGAAGCUCUCGACCCACUUGCUGGACUGCUUGCGGUAGCGCUUGAGGCCAUUGAGGCGAUCGAUGAAGAUGAGGCCGAAGCGAUCCAGGUAUCCAUCCCCCCACUCGAAGCAGUCCAUGAAGGUCCAGGUGAAGUAUCCCUUGACGUUGACGCCGUUCUUGAUGGCGUGGUUCACGAACUGCAGGUGCUGGGAGUGGAACUUGAUCCGGUGCCCGUCCUUGAGCGCCUCACUGAGCGGGAUCCGCGGGCUGUUCUCCUCGGCGAUGCCGUUCUCCGUGACGUAGAUGACGGGGUUGUUGUAGCGGCGGGCGGUGUAGAGCAGGAGCUCGCGGAGCCCCGCAGGGGAGUUGAAGAAGAUGGGCACGAACUCCGGCUCGCCGACGGACACGCCGUCGCGGAACCCGGAGGUGUUGGCGCGGAUGUCGCCGUCGUAGGACUGCGCGAGCGCGUUGGCGGGAGCCGGCCUGUCCGACGUGAAGUAGGAGGUGUAGUAGUUGACGCCGAUGAAGUCGUACGACCCCUUCACCAUCACCGCCUCCUCCGCCGUAAACCUCGGCAGCCGGCCGCCGAGGUAGGCGCGCAUGGUGCCCGGGUACUCGCCGCGCACGAUGGGGUCCAGGAACCAGCCGUACAUGAAGUCGAGGCUGCGCUGGACGGCGCGCUUGUCGGCGGCGGAGUCGGUGGUGGGCACGAACCAGUGCGACACCGCGGUGAGGCCGAUCUGCCCGCGCUGGGAAGGCUGGUACUUGGCCUGGUAGAGGCGCACGGCCCUGGCGUGGGCGAGGAGGAUGUGGUGCGUCACCACGUAGGGCUCGCGGCCGGAGUCACCGGGGGUGCAGGACCUGGAGAUGAACGGGGAGCACCGGCCCGGGGCGUGGGCGCCCGUGCCGUACCCCUGCGACGCGUACGUCCACGGCUCGUUGAACGUUGUCCAGAACUUGACGCGGUCGCCGAACUCCCGGAAGCACACCUCCGCGAAGUCCACGUAGUCCUUGCUGCACAGUUGCGAGUUAGUUGUGAUCAGCCUGUCAGGCAACUGAUCGAUGAUGAUAAUGUGCUGAGUUUUCUGUCAAGGUCAUGUAUGUUUGGCUAUAGGCAUCCAAAUGUGGAUGAUCGAGGCCGGAUGAUAUUCCUUAAUUAAAAAAAAACAGAAAGGAAUUGGUCGAUGGCAUGUUGUGGCAGAUGCAUACAUGAUGUUCUCGCUGAGGAAGCCCUGGUACUUGGUCUCCAGGGCCUGGGGUGUGUCCCAGUGGAAGAGGGUGACGAACGGCUUCAGCCCUGUCACGAGAUUUUUUUUUUAUGUCAGUGUCAUCGUUGAAGAUGGAUUUUUAUAUAUGCCUCGUGGAUGCCAAGGACGAUUAUUUAAUUGAUGAUCAACUACCUACCAUUCGCUAUGACCUCGUUGAUGAGGUUGUUGUAGAAGGCCACCCCUUCCUUGUUGACUCCACCGCUCAGGGAGCCAGCUGCAGCAGCAAAGCACGUGGUGACACACAACUCAAAGCAAAGAAAUUCAGUGAUCUGGAUGGUCAGGUGGAGCUUGUGACCAGUACUCACUUGGCAGGAUCCUGGUCCAGGCAAUGGAGAACCGGAAGGCAUCCAUGUUCAUGUCCUUCAGGAGCUUCACAUCCUCCUGCAAAUUGGUCACAUUCCAUUUAUCAACGAUUAGCACAUACAUAUACAGCUCGACUCAGUGGUUUGAAAAUGCUAAGCACAUUGGAUUGGAGCUAAUGAUAAGUCAUCCAGUCACCUUGUAUCGAUGGUAAAAGUCUUCUGCUACAUCGCCAGUAUCAUUGUUCUUAAUUUUACCUGCAUUCAUUCGCAGAUCGUGGGCAUGUCAGUGACUACCACUCGAUCUCUGCAGCUCAUCUUCAGACUAGGGACAACUUCAUAGAGAGAGACGCAUGAAAAGUUCGUUCAAGCAAACCUGGGAUGUGACUGAAGGUGUCCCAGAUGCUGGGACCUUUGCCUCCUUCCUUGUAGGCGCCCUCGUACUGCAACCGAUCAAAAAACAACACAUGUUCAGAGCCUCAGAUCACCAUGGCGCGAUGAUCCAUGAAUGCAGCAAGGAAUGAAGAACGUAGUACGUGGCAACGAACACAUGCAUGGCUGGAUGGCAGUGGCGGAGCUUGAACAAUUAAUCAGGGGGCCAGCUAUGCUAAUUUGCUCUGAAAAUCAAUGAACAGUAGCUGAUUCACUAUUCAUAUAGUGGAGAUUUCCAAUAGCCAGGGGUGGCCAUGGCCCCCUUUACACUACACUAAGCUCCGCCCCUGCUGGAUGGUGAAUACACCACAAAUGCAGCUUGUGCAAAGGCAGACAGGAGACGGGGGUCGUCCAGAAUGUGCAGCCAGAGAUGAGCGUCAUCAUCACCUGAUACGACGCGGAGCCGGUGCCGAAGACGAAGCCCUCCGGGAAGCUGUACCUGCUGAACUUCGCGUGGGCGACGUUGCACGCGAGAGCUGCGAGGAGCAGAGCGGAGAGCACCCGCUUCGGCGCCAUCCCAGUUCCAGGACCCAUCGUUCUCGGAAGAACUGGGAACCGGAAAUGGCGAUGAAUCGGUGGUGCAGCACUGUCAGUUCCAAGCGCUAUUUAUAGAGGGAACCGCAGCAUUUGCAAAGUCCCUACUCCCUAGCUGUCCUAAACGAUUCCUUACAUCUACCACAUCUAGGCCAUGUUUAGUUACUCCCAACUCCCAACUUUGACACUAUGCAAAAAGAAGAUUCCCCAUCACAUCAAACUUGCGGUACAUGCAUGGAGUACUAAAUGUAGAUGAAAUUAAAAACUAAUUGCACAGUUUUGUUGUACUUUGCGAGACGAAUCUUUUGAGCCUAAUUAGUCAAUAUUUGGACAAUAAUUCACAAAUACAAACGAAACGCUACAGUGUGCUACAGUGCUGUAACAGUAAUUUGGCACCUCCCAAAUUCCCCAACUAAACAAGGCCCUAGAUUUUUUUUUCUAGAGGGGACAGGACUUCAUGAACGAGACAGCUCGAUCUCAGUGCCGGGAGGUGUGUACAUGCGGAUCUGGGCUGUCCAAGUUGACAGAUAGGAUUGUUUAGUUGGAUGAUCGGUGCACGCUGUGACGCUGACACCGUAACAGUUUCUCAUUGGGACGCCAAUUUGUAUGCUCGAUUUGGUCUUCGCUCUUGAUUUCAUGGCCAGGUUGACUCGAAUAUUGCGGAUGCGGCGGAGGUUCAGAUGUGCGCAUCGAUGGAAGAGUUGAGCUUUAAUCGGAAAGGACGAUGAUCGUGGAUCUGAUAAUGCGGAUCGUGGAGAGUUGAGAUAUGCGGAUCAGAGAGAGUUGAACUCACGCCCAAAUUGCAGCCAAACGAUUGAUAAAUUGGAAUGUAUUAGGUGAGUAUACUGUAGUACUGUACUCUUUUUUUUAGAGAAUCAUACGGAUACACGUACGCACACUCGCUCCUACGAACAUACGCACGCAACUGUCGUUGUCAAGAUUAGCAGAUUAAGACCAAGGCUAGUAAAUUUCUUUUAUGCAUGUAAGGUUUCGGAUGGUGGCGUGAGAGGACACGGGAUUAGACUGGUUCGGGCAAGGAAAGCCUUACGUCGAGUAUGGGGAGUAGCUCGUGUUACUCACGCAAGGUCUGUAGUAGGGGUUGCAAACGGGCGAGAGAGGGAGCCGAUCCCAAGUCUCUUGGGUGUGCACUGAUGCUCUAGAGGUGAGUAUGUGGGUUCUGUUGGCUUCUGAGUCCUCCCGGUACUGGAGCCCCUGGUUCUCCUUUUAUAGCGCAAGGAAGACCCAGGGUUACUGGUGAACCGGGUGUGUGGAGAAGUAAAAGAGAUAAGCUAAAUAAAGUAAAGUAAAGUGCAAGGGGAAGGACCAAGUCCCCGGGUCGCCGCCUCCCGCUCCGUCUUCCGGCUCUUGUCAGCACGUCCACCGGAGGAGGGCGGCUGUCUUCGGAUCCUGUCGACGAUCUUCCUGGCGACCGCUGCCGUCAAGCACGAUGAUGGCGUUCGGUCGUGGCAACUGUGCAUGUGGGGGAGACGGCUGACCCCUGUUGCCUUGCUUAUGGCCCGUGGAACACGGACGUCGCGUCCCUGCCGCCGGAUACGCGGGGCGCAAGAACGGGCGGAGCUCCCCCCUGUGCCGGGCGGCGCAUGCCAUGAGUACCCUAGCGAAGCGGGAUGUUCCCUGCCCAUGCUGGGCCGAUGGUAAUCGUUAUUACCAUAGGUGGGCCUGGGCCUCCGUGAUUGUUGUUUUGAGGGGUAUUAGGAGAUCGUUAAUAUUUCCCCCCAACAGCAACCCUACCCUAUAAGCACCUCCGAAAUACUGAGCCGGCAAAUCCUCAAGAUUGACAAAAUCAUCACUGACAUCUCGCUGUCGACGGGCACGUCGCCUACACCAGUUAAAUCAUGGAAUAAAUUCAGAAAAAUAUAAGCAUCAGUGCUGAGUCGAGAACUUGAAGUCUGGUGGUCGGGUUCCACCACAACGAACCUAACCAGCUAAGCUACACUCCGUUCGCUUUUUAGCACAGACUUGUACUCGUAGACUAGGUCACCAGCAUCAUAGACAGGGUACCGUAAGACCUGUUUGGAAGGCCUCGGCUUGAAUAGACCUGAGUAUUUUUCAAAUCGGGUUGGUCUUGUUCUUUAAGAAAAAAGAUCAGUUCAUUUCGGGUUGAAAAUUUAAUUCAUCCCUAAUCUUAAUCUGAAUUUAGGGGAACUCCAGGACCACGCACAAUUAGAAGCGCAAUAGGCUUCAAGCGGUGCAUAAGGAAAGAGUCGCAGAGUCUAUCUGGAUGAUGAACGUUGUUGCUAGGGAGGUGCUUGAAGAACCAGAUGUAGAGUCGGGCUAGCAGUCGAUUAAUGCGGUGGGGCAGUAUAUGCCAUAGUUUGGGGGACUCCAGAGCUAUGCACAACUUGGAGCAUGGUAGGCUUCAAGCGGAGAUGGCGUGCAGGCUAUAGGCGACAGCCAAUAGUCCACGAGUGGAGGGAUAAGAGAGAGAGUUGGUGAUUGGGAACGGCAGCGCUCACCCUUUGGGUCUGGCAGCACCAAAAAGUUUUGAUGGCUUUCGUGGUGGCGAAGUCAGCUGAGGUUUUAGCUAUGUAUAUUGAUCAAUGGACAUGCCCAUCCCAACCGCAAACAUUUGCUAGUUAAUUAUAAAAUUACUAGGAUUUGAUCUGAACGAGGCGUAUGACCGUAGGAGUCGUGGAUUUGAUCUGUACACGCACACGCACAAUGAGGCGUGACUGCGCAGCACAGAUUCUCACAGGCCCACGAGGAUCCUGGCCGCCGAGAUGCCCUCUCUCACGUCAGCUCCUUAGCCUCGAGCCCUCGACAUUGCCGACAUCGAGUCAUCCACACAAGGUGCAUCAAACCACCCGAGUACUUUUGCUUCUAGCUUGGGGGUUCAAUUCAUGCUCAUAAUAUGCCAGUUCGUUCCUGAUGCUUUAGCUUGCCCAACCAGCUUGUGUGGAUACGUGGAAUGAACAGGCAGUUUGGAUGUUUAAUGAUUCUGUACCAGAACACAGCGGGCUGCCCAAAAAGGAUUCGUUUUGUUAGUUGUCGUUAGUUUAAGCCCAUUGGUAUUACGAGCAAAGGAAAAAAGAACAGAUUUAUAUAUGCAUCAAGCCUUGCUUAGAAGUCAGAUCAAUUUGUGUGUGCUCCAUGAUCUAUAGCCUAGAUGUCUGAUUUUUAUGGAAUGUUUAUUCGGCAUGAGAUGAGAAGGAACGAGCAAACUACCAAACAAACAUAAGAAUCUGUACAAGCAUUCGUGCCGACUUGGAGCUAAAAUACAGUCACUAUUCCAAAAGAAAUCUCCAUUCCAGUUUCCAGGACGCAUGCCCAUCUCUCCUGAAAGCCCGUCCAACCAACCUCCAGUAUCGAGUCUGCUUCAUCUUCUGUGAACUCCAAUGUUUGCAUAGAAUAAUUUGUGUAUUUAUACUUUUCAAAAAAAAUAAUUUUUGUAUUUAAAACUUAAAAGUAGCUAAUUAGUGUCAUCACCAUCUUGAUGUUUCAAUUGACAAAGCGAAGUUAGACCAGGAAAGGAGUCAUGAAAAAUCAAGGGAGCGGUAACAAGACAAUCGGAUGCAGUGAUCUUGCUUGUUAGAAGUGAACAAUCAAGUCUUCAUACAUGAUCCUUAUUGAUCCUCUGAAUUACUACUUUCAAUUUACAAGGUUCUGAUGAUGAAAAUGACCAUGAUGCACGGAGUUAUCAACAAAUGGGCUCAAUUAGUGACAUGUGGCAUGAUAGGAAGCCCCGGAUUGAGGCCCGGCUCUCCUCUUGCCUCGCAUUGCAUGGGCUCAGUCAGGGACCUUUCAAUUCACCGCCAGGGUGCCAAUCGGUUUUGGCCUUUUGGGUGGAUCGGAGUGGUUGCAGUCCUGCACGCGGCUAGGUAUCGGCAAAACAUACGGUAGACAACCCACUUCUGAAUUCUGAUUUGGAUUACUACUCCAUGAACCCGUGCUCCUGCACGGGUUAAUAUUUUUAGAAAAUAUUAUAUUUAAAAAUUAUUUAGAAAUUAAACUCCUAACUAAUAAUCAAAAUUGUUUAUCUACUACUCUCUUAUUUUUCAAUACUUCAACAUAAUACUUAUAUAGAUAUGUAUGUGAUUGAUUUUUAAUUAAUAAUUACUCAAUGCACUUUUUCAUCCAUAUUCAUAUUUUUUCCACUUUGUAUCACACCUCCAAUCCUCCAUACAUUAUGUUUAGCAUAUAAAUCAAUAUUUUUCAGUGAUUCCUCACAUGCAUGUAUCAAUGGUCUAAAUGAUGGCACUCAUCAUAUGUAUAUACUUUAAAUUAGUAUUUCUAUAUUAACAAUGACAUAAAUAGGUAAUUUACAAUCAUAUAUUAAUUUACUUUGUGAUAUUUCUGUAUGAUGCACAUGAAGAUAAUUAGAUUAAGAUUUAGGUGCUUUACUUUAGGUUAUUUUUAAUAACGACAUACGUGGAUAAAAUAGAUAAAAUUUUAGAAUUACAUUUUAAGUUAUGCUUUAUAAUGAUGUGUAUCAGUAAAUUGGAUGAAGGUUAUGGGAUUAUUUUAGAUUAUUUUUUAUAAUAGUUGAGCUAGGUAAUUGAAAUAUAGGUUUAGAGCUCAUUUUUGAAUAUUUUCAUAAUAAUAGUGGUGGGUAACUUUUUAGAAAAUAUAAUAUAUUAAUGGCUAUGGUUAUUAGAGUUUACAGGAUUGGCAUUUGACGUUUUAAAUUUUUAUGAGAAUUUGUCUCUUUUUUCUGGUUUGUCUCAUGGGAACUAAUGUGGAGCCUCCGUGUGGCGACCGACCCCGAAAUCUUCCGAGUUAAUCUUAAUCCGAGCCCUGAUCACCUGUCUUAGUUUUCCAAGCCUAAGUGAACCAACCUCCAGUCCGGUCCUGACCCCUAAGGCCCGACCCCUCUCCACUGGCAUCCAGUUCCGACCCCGCCGACCCCAACUCACUCGCCGGAUCUUUCUGAGUCAUCCCCCAACACCUCCCUUCAAUCUGACUGGUGGGCCCACGAGAUCUUUUCUCCCAGAUCCCCCACGACAGGCGCACUCGAGUUGCAUGCUCGCUUCAGAGUUCCCCCGCCGCGUGGCUCAACUCCUCCGACGUCCGCCGCUCCGCCUCGUCUUCGGCCCGCGACCAAAUGGAUUCUCGCGCCCUCCUCCCCAAUCGCAGCGGAAGCCCCUCUGCAACCUUUCUGCAGCACCUCGCCGCCCGCGCCCAUCAUCACAUCGCCAGAUCCCGGCCGCAGAGCCCGAUGUCGCCCAUCUUUUCCGUCACCCCGCCACAGUCGCGCCGCCCGGUCUUCGCUACACGACGAUUCCUCCUCCGCCAACCCCGACCACGGUAGCGAUAGCUCCUUUUCCCGCCCUGUCAGAAGCCGCUCGAUAAUCUGUUGCUCCGCGCUCGCCCGCGCGCCCGCAGCCGCCUAUCUUCUCACCUGUGCGCCCUCGAUCCUAGCGCCGUUUUCCCGGUCACUUCCAUCAGCUCCACCGCACGACGACGCCCGCAUCCGCCAAAUCUCAACCACCGACAAACCCGCGCCUGCGCCGCCCUGACGCCAGAGCCCAAUGACCGCCGGCGUCAUCCCCGAAGUCCUGCUCCACCGCCCUCGUCGCUCAAUCGCCGCCCGGGCAGAGCACUCCAUUGCUUCUUCCCCGGCCUUCGCGCCGCUCCCCUUCUCACUCCCGCACCGCUAUAAAAGGGAAUACGCGAGCACCGCCGGAGUCCCCUUUGCCAUCGCUACCCUCCCGCCAUUUCUCUUGCUCCCUGUUCGAGCUCCCAGCGCCACCACACUAAGUCCCUGAGGAACUCUCCUCUCCGCUCCACACCGCCUUCCCCAAUCCACCCAGCCGCUUGCUUCUCCGUGCUGCGUAGGAGAUUACUUGUGAUCCACAAGAAGCACCGCCGCCGCCGGAGCACCGCCGGACAUCUCCGCCGCAAGUCUUAGUGUUCCAGUUCCUCCGUCCGAACCUGCUCUUCCCCGACCCCAAGCUUUCCUUAUAAGAUAAAGGUAAGCUGCCGACCCCUUUUUCCGCCUCGUCCGACCCUUCUGUUCGUCCGACCCCUUUUCCGUCUCGCCCGACCCUAUCUGUUCUGCCGACCCUUGUCCGCUUCGCCCGACCCCUCUUAUCCGCCCGACCCCGGUUCCAUCUCGCCCGACCCUAUCUGUUCCGCCGACCCUUCUCCGCCUCGCCCGAGGGCUCGGCUGUAUCUUUUUCUUUGAACCGAGGGUGUAUGUGUAAAACUUGGGGACCUUUCAGCGUUGAGUCUGAGGACCCCUAGCACAACUAUUCCUCUAGUCUAAGGAUCCGAUCAUAAGUUCCUUUCCUCCGACCCUUACCUCUUGAUCUCCACCAACUCCCUUGAACCUCCCCACCCUCCUGUAACUUGUCGCAAGUUUCUGGGCUCAGACUUGCAAGUGUUGUUGUCGAAAUAACCGUCUAAAUGCUAACUCUUGCAUUGCAUUUUCGUGUAGAGCUGCGUCUCGCCGACGGCUCCUACGAGCUGCACCCGGCGCCAGAAGACGACGGUGUAGCUGAGCUCCUGCCCCCAGAAGCCGAAGCCGCCCAAGCAGAAGAGCAGCUUCCUCCUUUCUCGCUUGAAGGAAAGCCCCGGAUGCAUGAAUCCCCUAUGUUUUGCUAAACUUGCGCAUGCCUUCUUUAAACAUGCUUGUGCAUUUACGUAUAGGAGUUGUUUGGAACCAUAGAUGCAUAACCUAGCUCCCUUGAUCUGAACACUAGCUGUUGGAUCGGGUAGAUGCUUUGCUCAAGUAGGAAGCGGUAAAAGCCGAGUGAUUUCCUGUCACUCGCGAGUUUAUAGGAGUUGGUUGAGUUCUCUUCUGUUACAACUGUAAGGACGAUGGACGGGGUAGGGUUUUUGGGUAACUCUUUGGUGGUCGGUUGAUCGCCCCGUCUGUUUAUGAAACUUGCUAAGGCCCGACAGUGGUGGUGUUCGUGAUCAAGUGUUUGAAGGUACUAAUCUCAUACCUAGUAUGGGAUGGGGAAGCCUAGUACCUGAUUGAACUAGGGCGUGGCUUAUACCCCUAUUGUCCCUGGAACGAGGUUCCCAUGGUGCAUCAUGUGGGUGCAAGUGCGGUCACAGUACGGUAGAGGCCGGGACUGUGGAGCAUUGCAUGCCAAGGGAAGUUUGGACCUGACACGCGCCUGGGAAUUGAUGGGGACGGCCGACACAGGAAGCGGCCCUUGUGGUGCGCGGAUGUCGUGAGAUUAGGUUCGCCAUGCAUGGUUAAGAAACUCGAAUCGAUUCGUCUGCCUCUCACAGUUUGAGACUGCUUGAUCGCUAUGUCACCCUAAGUAAAUAAGGAAUCUGAUGAUGACAUGGUUUUGUUGAUGAUAUAUAUACCGUUGGUUGGUUCUAUGAUUGCUUAGAAUAGGUUGCAAACUUAGACCGGUUAAUGAACUUAGAACCGGAGCUAAAACUUGAAAGUAGGGUUACACCUAACGCUUUUGGCAAACAAACCCCUCAGCCAAGAAGCCUUGCAUGUCUAGAAGAGGUAGUUUAGCGCGCUUCCUGUCGGUUAAGUCUUGUUGAGCUUAGUAGCUCAGCCUUAUUGUAGCUUUUCUUUUUCAGGCGAAGUUGCUGUUCCCGAGCCCCCUUCUGCUGGCACUUGGCCACCCCAACUCCCUCCGGGUUUGACGGUUGAGUGGGAUCCCUCCUCGGACGGUGAGGAGAGGGAUCGCUGACGUCCUGGCUGGCCUCACCAGGGAUGUCUGACCCGACGAGUUCGCUUCCGCUAGUGUUUUACCUUCUGUUGUUUUUCUUUUGAACCUUGUAAACUCUGAUGUGUUUUGUGGCCAAACUAAAUGGGUAAUUCUGUCAACUCGGUGCACUUGUUGUAUUCGCUGGAAUCGCUCACCUUCGUGUGGGUUUGCUAAAUGGUCCUGUUCAAGUGGUUAAAUCGGAUGAAAUCCGACGGCACUUCGUGUUUACUCGGUUUAGGCAUGAGCGUCGCGUAUCAUGCGGCUAAAUCAUGUUUAACCAAGUAGAUACGAAGUGGAUCCGCCACACUCCGAUGGAAAAAAAAUGAGACUACACUGCUAAAAAACUAUUACCAUAAGAUAGCUCUCGUUUGUUAAAUAUUCGAACACACAAGGCUUAUGUAGAUAUAUACUUAAUAUCUUCAUCCAAUUAUGAUAUAUUUUAGUUAGUAAUUACUCUAUAAUAUUUUCAUCCACAUUUAUAAUCUUUAACUUUCACUUUGCAUCGCAGGUAUGCGCUUGAAUUUGUUUAAUGAACAUUAAGUUUGAGAUACAAUUUUAGCAUAGAAAUCUAUAUUCUCAUCACUUUAUAUCUUAUAAAUGGUGACACACAUCAUGCGUAUAGACCUUAAUUAUUAUAUCGUAUAACAAUAGUGCAAGAUAUAAACGAUUUAGAAUCAUAUAUUGCUGUAUAUUUUAAAUUAAGGUUAUUUGAUUCAAACAUAGAGUUACCUCAUGUUAUUUUUAAUAAUAGCAUGUGUGGGUAAUAUAGAUGCAAAUUUAAGGGGUUACUUUAAGUUUUUUAAGUAAUAGUGGUAGGCAAUUCAGUUGCAAAUUAGGGGGUUAUUUUAAAUAUUGUUUAUAAUAGGAUAAGUGGGUAAUUUUGAUGAAGAUUAGGGGGUUACUUUAGUUUAUUUUAUAUAAUGGCAGAGGUGGGUAAUUUAUAUAUAGAUUUAGGGGGUUACUUUAGGCUAUUUCAUAAUGGCAUAGGUGGGUAAUUUUUUAGAAAAUAUAAUAGAUCCAAUGGCUAUGAUGAUUUUAAUCUAUCGAUUGAUGGUUAGAUGUUUUUUUUUGUGAGAAUUUCUAGGGUCUCUCUUUUUCUAGAGUGUCCACCUAGGAAUCCUAGGUGGCUUCACCUUGAGGCUUCAAAAUGAGCCUUCAAUUAGUAAUAGUAAGAUAGUGAGUAAGGGUUUCUUUCUAACCUUUUUGUUGCAAUUAGAUUUCAUUUGGAAGUUCACCUAUUGAAAAUAGCAUGUUCUCAUAAAAACAUUGUAAACUAUUUUGCAAAAGAGAACAAAAAUAUUGAUAACAAACUUUCACAUUCAAACUUGCUUAGAAAUCAGUAGGCAUCUUUGAACUUUGAAAUAGCCACUCACCGCAACAGUAAGUACCAAACAGAGUCUAAAUCAAUCGAGAUCAAAUAUAUCCUGGUCACAUCUUCACUUUGUUCAUUCUGAUUGAGAGGAAUGGAACUACAAUGCACACGUCCGACUGACAGAUAGCUCAGCAGCGAGCUAAGUGGCCUGUUUGGCUCACCGUGUUAAACUUUAGCACCCGUCACAUCGAAUAUUUGGAUACUAAUUAAAAGUAUUAAACAUAGUCCGAUUACAAAACUAAUUGCACAGAUGGAGUUUAAUUCGCGAGAUGAAUCUAUUAAGCCUAAUUAGUCCAUGAUUUGACAAUGUGGUGCUACAGUAACCAUUUGAUAAUGAUGGAUUAAUUAGUCUUAAUAGAUUUGUCUCGCGAAUUAGACUCCAUCUGUGCAAUUAGUUUUGUAAUUAGCUCAUGUUUAGUCCUUCUAAUUAGUAUCCGAACAUUCGAUGUGACCCUGCUAAAGUUUAGUACCUCAUAUCCAAACACCCCAUGAGUACUCUAAAAAAGUCUUCCCCAAAACUAUAUAUUGGGGGUUAUUCCAAAAAAAUUCCCCAAAAAACAUAUUAAUCCACAGCAGAUCGCUAAUAAAUAGUCCCCAAUAUUUUAAAACAGGCCACGUCAUCGUAUUGGGCCCAUCGAAAGGGACGCACGAGCGUGCAGGAAUCAGGAUUGGGGGAGGAAUGCCAACGCUAAAAUAUACGCGGUGGUAGGCUAUUUUUUAGCGUUGCUAAAAAAUUGGGGAAUGUUUGAGUGGACUGUUGGAGUUCGUUUUUUCUCUUUUUUUCUAGAAAAAAGUAUUAGGGGUAAGAUUAGCAGUCUCUUGGAGUUGCUCUUAUUCCCUUUCCUGCCAGCACACUCCACGACAGCAACAGCGACCCCAUAGACUACAGGCCCACACAGCAGCAAUCACUCUCUGCAAGCAAACACACCCGGCCCAUCCGCAAGACCGCGAACAGAUUAAGUGCCAUUGGCAACAACGACGCGGCGGCACCAGCUGUAGUUGCUGAAAGAACAGGGGAUCGAUCGACGAUGUGGAUGGACCUCGUGACCAGUGGGCGCGGCGAUCUUCGUUCCAUCUAAUACCGCUUCAGGAAGUUCUCUAUCCAGUAGCUUGACUGCUUGCGGUAGCGCUUGAGGCCAUUGAGGCGGUCGAUGAAGAUGAGGCCGAAGCGAUCCAGGUAGCCGUCGCCCCACUCGAAGCAGUCCAUGAAUGUCCAGGUGAAGUAGCCCUUGACCUUGACGCCGUUCCUGAUGGCGUGGUUCACGAACUGCAGGUGCUUGGAGUGGAACUCGAUCCGGUGCCCGUCCUUGAGCGCCUCCUCGAGCGGGAUGGAGGCGUUGUUCUCCUCGGCGAUGCCGUUC
rnacentral:lncRNA from 1 species